UGAUCUCGCCACCUCCAUGCCGAAAGAAGGGUGGCUUGGAUUCCUGCAAAGAUUGAGAUUUGAUAAUGCUUUGAUUUUCUUCCUAGACGCUGCUCUUUUUUAAGAUUCAAGGUCGAGUCAGUGUGCUAGUUUGGUUUAGUAGCGGGAGUGAGUCGGGACAGAGGAAAAUGUGGUGUGUGUCAGUCGGUUGGUGCUUGUCGUAUUUCUUGGAUGUUACCGUUAAAUAAUAGGAACGGCCUUGGUGCCGUUUCUGAAAUAAUAAUAGUAGCAUCCAUCCUCGUUUCCAAGAAAAUCUUUGUCACUGCUGCUGAGCUCUGUUACCUAAUACAAUUACUAGAAGGUGGGAUAAAGAGCUUUUGCCACUUCAGUUAACCAAAUGAGCAUUGUUACUUUAGUCUUAGUCACUCCACUAACUUAGUCCUGGUUUCUAUGUGAUUGUCAAUGGUGUCUAAUGCAAUAUAUAUGAAUCCGACAAGAUUUCACUUGUUUCACAUAUGAAAUUGUAGUUAAAACUAGUGCCCAGAAAUUCAAGUUCGCUGGUAAAAUUAAGUUCUGGAACUCGCACCCUCUAUGUAGUCUGAGCAAUUAGUCGAAGCUCAAUAGGUGUGUCAAGAACAUCCUAGGAGGAGGGGCCAUUUAUUGGUUAUAGCCGAUUGAGAGAGCUCUGUGAACCAAAAAUUCUUAAUACGAUUUAUGUGACCAAAAGAUAUCGAUUAAACACAAUCAGAACUGGACAAAAUGAUGUCUGUAAUCUGUCAACAAAUGUUUUACUUCCCUUUUUAGUAGCACAUUUUACUGCAUACGCAUUGGUGAACUGAGGGGUGAGGGUUCUGAAGCACCAAAACCAACAAAAUCAACUGACUGCUACACGAGUUCUUCCACAAGAACGCGAACUAAUCAGAAAAGGGGAGGAAUGAGGGAGACCUAAUUAAGCAGGGGUAGAGCAGGAGUGAGCCGUGCAGACCUUGCGACGGGUACGGCGCGCAGCGACGGCGGCCGCGCUCUUCCGUUGCGGCGGCCAUGGUCGCCGGCGCGCCGCUCCGAGCUGGUGGCGGCGGCCAUUGUCAUUGCCAUCCAUCAACCGACUCGUCUAGCGGAGUAGCCAAUGGUAAGGUUGGGCCUUAUGGAAGCUCGAGCCCAUUUAGGACGGGGCUGUUCAAGUCAGUAGAGCCCAAGCAGCAAGCAGCCCAUCAAUGAAGCAGAGGAGGAGCCAUUGGAGGGGAGGAGAUGGAUCGACGGCAAUUCUUUUCCGUGUUUUUAAUUCUUUUCCUUUGUCGUUGGCGAGGGUGCUCCCGUGUAGCGCCCUAGUCCACUUUUAUGAGCCUUCUCCUCUCGCCACCAUCGAAGGAUGCCGUCAAGCAAAGCGUUCGCGGUUGACGACGGCGGCAGGACACAGUUUCCACAUCAGUUCGCGAUAACAACGAUGAAUUCAGCGGAGGCCUUCCGAUCUCUGAUUCACAGUAAUGGUAGGACUUUCCUGGUCGACGUCCCCUACCGGCGGAGUGAUGCAUCUUACCAGUUCCUGGCUGGAGAGCAUUUGCAGCCAUGCGUGGCGGCGUCGAUCCAACCGAUGCGGCCCGCUUCCAAGGAGUUCUUGUGCACGAUAGCUAUAUUUGUGACCGCAUGCUGAUUCGUCUCUACUGGGUUCAUAUAUUGGAGGUUCCUAGCGGUGCACUCUAGUAAUUGGUCAUUCCCUACUUAGUGUAGUAUGUGGAGUACUCGAGAUAUCCCGUGAAGGCGUAUGUGACGGCCGCUCUGGAGACUCUACUUCCGCUUGAUGUGGCUGUUUGAUCCUUGUCUGUAGUGCCCUAGGUGAAUGGAUAUUUUUUUUUGAAGAUGCGAAUGGAUAUAGUUGGUUCUACGUGGGCUGGUUAGAUUCUUAUCGUCAUGAGACAGGAAGGUCAUUGGCAUGGAUAGUAGGCAUUCCUAGGUCAUUUUUCUUUGCUGGUGAGUUACUGCCUAUUGCAAAAAGAAAACUAAUUUACCANNNNNNNNNNNNNNNNNNNNNNNNNNNNNNNNNNNNNNNNNNNNNNNNNNNNNNNNNNNNNNNNNNNNNNNNNNNNNNNNNNNNNNNNNNNNNNNNNNNNNNNNNNNNNNNNNNNNNNNNNNNNNNNNNNNNNNNNNNNNNNNNNNNNNNNNNNNNNNNNNNNNNNNNNNNNNNNNNNNNNNNNNNNNNNNNNNNNNNNNNNNNNNNNNNNNNNNNNNNNNNNNNNNNNNNNNNNNNNNNNNNNNNNNNNNNNNNNNNNNNNNNNNNNNNNNNNNNNNNNNNNNNNNNNNGCUUCAUCAAACCUUAACCCCUCUUUAAAUAUUUAUAUAAAUUUUUGAGUGGAUGGCUUUUUUGUCAGGGUUGGCAAGCAGCAUUGCUGUUAGGGUUGCUCAUAUUUAUAUAAGUCACGACUCACAAGUGCUACAAAUGGUGGCAACUACACUAUAUGUAGUUGAAUUAAACGACUGCCACAGUUGGCAUUAUGCGAUGUUUGUUGAAGAAAUUAUGAUGUCCGGGCCACAAACAUCAUUUAUCACUAUCUGGCCUCGAAUAUAUAACUAGUUUAUUCCCAUGCAGUAAGAUCACAUUUAGUUUCUAAGUGAGAAUAGCAUAGUGUGGAAAGUGAGUAACAAUGAAGAGCAGAGUAAAGGCACAGACGGUCAUGUAUCAUAUCCGGCCUGGCGGGAAUGGGAUGUAUUGGAAAUUUGAGUCUGAGUCAUUCUCCCAGACUUCGUUGGAAGAAAAAAAUGAUUAAGCUAGUAGCAUAGUCUGUAGUCUCUAGAAUGGGUCGUGUUGUCUACUGACCUCGAGCCCGAUUAGUAUCGUCCGGCUUGGUAAAUGUAGCUAAGCAGCAAGCAGCCGAUCCAACACAUUUUUUUUGCAAAAUAAUAUAUACUAGUUUUGAAGCCGCAACAGAUAAAGCNNNNNNNNNNNNNNNNNNNNNNNNNNNNNNNNNNNNNNNNNNNNNNNNNNNNNNNNNNNNNNNNNNNNNNNNNNNNNNNNNNNNNNNNNNNNNNNNNNNNNNNNNNNNNNNNNNNNNNNNNNNNNNNNNNNNNNNNNNNNNNNNNNNNNNNNNNNNNNNNNNNNNNNNNNNNNNNNNNNNNNNNNNNNNNNNNNNNNNNNNNNNNNNNNNNNNNNNNNNNNNNNNNNNNNNNNNNNNNNNNNNNNNNNNNNNNNNNNNNNNNNNNNNNNNNNNNNNNNNNNNNNNCACAUUCUCACCUGAAUCCGAGUUUCACCUCCUCCCCUUAUCAAUUCGUAUAUUCCCUGGUUGGUACUCAGUCCUGCGAUUGGCCUCGUGGGAACGAGAUUCAAAUUUUGGUGCUAAUUUCGUAUUCUCUCUCGCCUUGUUGUAAUUUUAAAACCCUAGAAGAGGUGAGACUAACAGUCUGAUUGAUUGAUUAAUUGAUCGACUAGGUUUUGCAAGGGCUAGAACGCUAGCAUGAGUAACUCUAGUUUGACUUGGUCAGAUAGCCUCGAUUAGAGUUUCUCAUGCCCUGUACAAUGAUCUGCAGAUCAAUCGAUGUAUUUUCGUGUGCCCUGUGAAAUUACUUAAUUUGUGUCUCUAAGUUCAGGCUAAUUCUUUUUAUUCGUACUGUAUUACUUCAUUCGUGUAAGUUCAGGCUAUGUUCAGCCAUCACUGCAGCCUGAGGCUCACCAGUUAACUGUUGAUUCCUCAAAAAGCCAACCUCUUAUCUAUACUUACUAGUACUUUAUACUGCCAAGCAAAAGGAUCGUUAGCAUUCCUCUCCCUGUUUAAUCUCAUAGCACAAUGAUAAAGUUAUCUUGUCCUGGCCAUGGGGAAGCACCAAAACCCAAUGGAACCAAUUAUUUUGUUUUUACGAGUUAUAUAAAAAAAAUUGAAUAGUUCCGUGGUUCCGGCAUAAUUGCCCUCAUGUAGGAUGGACGGGUGGCUAGGCAGGCUUGUUUAGGUUCGUGCCCAAUAUGGUCCCUUGUGUACUGAUUUGCCUCUCGCUGCAGCUGGCUCUGCAACUGCAAAACUGCGGGAUGUCUGCUCCAUGGUGGUAACACUCGCACAUCACUCAGUGUAGCUAGUUGUCUAUACUAUCGACCAAUAAUCAAUUGACUUGAUGAUGAUCGUGUUCAUUUCAGACACGCAAGUACACGGGGGAAUCCUUUUGGUGUCCUACUCACCUGUGUGAGUUUUACUCUUCUUGCACGAUGCUUGCUGUAGUAUCUUGGUAUUAAUAUUGGUCAAAUAAAAUACUUGUCCACUCUUAAGAGCUCAUGUUCAAACAAAUCUAAAAGUUUUGGGCAUCCAAGGUUCAUGCAAAUUUGCAUGCUCAUAUGGACAUCUGAGGAGUUCAUGCCAAAAAAAAAAAAUCCGGGUGCCCGAGAAACUUUGAGAAAGAAUAUAUUGUUCAGAGCCGAUUUUGUUUAUUUUGGUAGGAGCUCCUCAUAUGUCCAAACACCACGAAAUUUCGCAGGCUGCUAGCGCACAUGAGCAUCUUGGAUGCCUAAAAAUGCCAGAGUAUCUUUCGGAUGCUUUACUCUGUUAUUUUAAUUUACUGUUCACCUGGUGCAGACGAUCAGGAUUGUGUUCCUUUUACAUAGCUGCUACUAUAGUACACAACAUGCUUAAGUACACCUCAUGAUGUUUAAGUUUACCGAAUGUCUCUUGAUGUGGAUAAGUCUCUAACAUCAAGGUAACUAAACGUCAUAUAGUGAAACAAACUCUUAUUGGGAAAAAUACAGUACUGUAGACACACUUCAGCAAACCAUAUUCCAUAUCUAUGGAGUAGUUUGAUUUCACAAUGGAUUUUUUUGUCAUGGGUUGCUAGCAACUUUCCGCUUAGGGUUGCCCAUAUUUAUAUAUGUUAUGAGUGCUACAAAUGUCGACAACUAUGCUCUCACAAUAAAAUUAACAAUUAGAACAGCUGGCAUCAAUGUUUGGUGCAGCAAUUAUGGUGUCCGGGCUGCACAUAACAUUGAUCACUUUCUAACCUCCUAUAUAUAACUUGGUUAUUCUCUAUGUAGUAGGAUCACAUUUAAUUUGUAGAAGGAGAAUGGCAGAGUGUGGGAGGAGAGUAAUAAUAAGGAGCAUGGUAACUGGUACGGAUGUCGAGAAAACACAAUCCGAACAGGGAAUGUGAUGUAUUGGAAAUUUGAGUCGAGGAGAGUAACAAUGAGUAUGCAACAAGUGCUUGAUGCCCCCAAGCCAGUCGUCUGCAACCAGGGGCUCAGUAGAGGAGCUGAACGCAGGUUGCUUAAGGUGCAUGAACUCUUUGAGAAGGACGCGCGCAUUGUGCCCAUUGUGCUGAUGGUUUCCUAGAGUGAUGUUAAGCGUGAUAUAGGGAAUGCAGAUUAGGUAUCGGGUCCCUUUUUCUGCCAUGGCUGAUAGUCAAACAUAUAAGACACAUCGUGUCAGUAGAAGAAUAUGUAUUGGACACAAGCCGGUGACUAUAGGAGGCCGACAGAACAAGCACGCAGAUGUACUUUAAUUUACAGUUCCUGAAUUCGGUGACUAAUACUACCUUCAUCCUGGUUUACUAGUCCCCCUCAUAGUUUUGAAGCUACAUUCAAAUAUGAAUUCAACAAUAUAAUUUUUGAUAACACGCAUUAAUAUUUUCAAAUUUGGUUUAGUAGUGGGAGUUAGUUGAGACAGGAACAUGUGGUGUGUGCCAGUUGGUUGGUGCUUGUCGUAUUUCUACCGUUGAAUAAUAGGAAUGGCCUUGGAGCCGUUUCCAAAAUAAUAAAAGUAGCAUCCUUCCUCUUUGCCAAGAAAAUCUGUGUCACUGCCUCUGAGCUCUAUAACCUCUAUUACCUAAUAAAUUUUCUAGAUGGUGGGACAAAAAGCUUUUGCCACUCCCUAUGUACCAAAAUCACUUGUUUAGAAUCAAAAUAUGUCUAGAUACAUCCAUUUCUCCGACAAGUAUUUCUGAACAGAGGGAGUACUUUAUUGUUAACCAAAGGAGCAACAAGUUUUCGCUUCUCUUCACAUGUGAAUUGUAGUUGAAACUGGUGGCUAGAAAUUCGAGUUCACUGGUAAAUUAAAGUUGUGGAACACGCACAGUCACAACAAUUAGUCGAAGCUCAAUAGGUGUGCUAAGAACAGCCUAGGAGGAGGGGCCAUUUAUUGGUUAUAGCCGAUUGACAGAGCUCGCUGUGAACCAAGCCAUCUUAAUAUGAUUUUUGUGACCAAAAAAUGUUGAUUAAAGACAAUCAGAACUGCAGAAAAUGAGUUAGCAAACAAGCAUGCCGCGUAUGUCUGCAAUCUGACAACUAAUGUUUUACUUUCAUUUCUGCCUUUCUGGUUAACUGAAUCACCAAAACCAACAAAAUGAACUGAUUGCUAGACAAGUUUUUCCAUAUAAUAAGAACUCCUAAUAGGAAAACGGGGGAGACCUUUAAGCAGGGCUGGAGCAAGAGUGAGCCGUGCAGACCUUGCGACGGGUACGGCGCGCAGCGUCGACGCCCGCGCUCUUCGUUGCGGGUGCGGCGGCCAUGGUCGCCGGCGCGCCGCUCCGAGCUGGUGGCCGCGGCCUUGUCAUCGUCAUCCAUCCACUGACGCGUCCGACCAGAGUAGCGGAGUAAGCGAUGGUACGAUUGAGCCUUGUGGAAGCUCGAGCCAAAUUAGGACGGGCCGUUGAAGCCAGUGGAGCCCAAGCAGCACGGAGCCCAUACAAACUAAUUUUUUUCCAGUAAAAAUGUUUGGAUGAAGCAGCGGAGGAGCAGAGAGAAGCCAUUGGAGGAGAGGCGAAAGGGAUCGCCGCCAGCCACCCACCGCGUCACCGCCACACCGCCAUGGGCUCCCUCCACAAGGUACAUUCUCUCCUGAACACUGGUUCCCCUUCGUCCAUUCAUCUAUCCUCUGGUCGAGUGAUCCUUGGCUCGAAUCGUGUUGCUAGUGGUUGGUUCUGCGAAGAAGAAGCACGCGUCUCCCUCCACUGUGAUUUUAACGCGUGGGGGUGUUCCAAAGGAUCUGUGGAUAAUUCAGUUUACAUUCGCAUUCGCGUGUCCCCUGGAAUUACUUGGUUGGACAGUUAUUGCUUGACUAGAACCUCGCUAAUCAAAUACUGAAUUCCUCAAGUAACAAGUGAGUUUUCUGUACUUUAUUUGUACUGCCAUGCAAGAGGAGCGUUAGUGUCCCUCUCCAUGUUUAAUCUCGUAGCCCAAUGUUCCAUGCAUAUUAUUAUCUUGCCCCGAUCAAGCACCGGAAACCAGUGGCAUAGAAAUUUCUUGUUCUUGCAAGUUGUAUAAAUACUUUCGUGCUAUUUCAGCCAUAUGGUGACCUCCCAGAUUUGCGUUUCAGCUUGGAUAGGAGAUGAGUACUGAAGAGACGCGCACGGCAACGGCCGAUUGCCUCGCGCCUUACGAGGGUAGAGACAGGAGGGGCGGAUCCGGACGUCGGUCGAUUGGAAGCGGCGCCCGCGAUUGGGGUAAGCAGAGAAACUACUGCACUUACUCAAACUCUUCAUCUUGCCUUCCUCUCGUCCUGCCGCUGGCUCCGCAAAACCGCAGGUGCUCUGCUCCGUGGCAGCAAUGCUAGUGUGGGUACAGAGGAGUCUGUUUGGUGCUGUGCUUGCAUGUCCUGAAACUCUCCGGUUCUGAAUUUUGAUCUUGGGUUUGAUUUUCAUCACUCAUUUGCGUGAUUUUCCUUUGACCGUCCCAGUCUGGAUCUCCGUCAACUUCGCUGAUGAUGAAAGCCUGUCUCCAAAGAGUUCCAUCUGACUAUGAAUUGGUUUUUAUUGCAAUUUUUUAAUCUCUCUGUCUUUUGCAUCAGCGUUACACACUUGCAUAUAAGUUAUAAUAGCGCUCUGUUUUUUGUAUGUUUGCAUACAAAAGGCUUCAUAUAUUGAAAGGUAACACAAGGUUGUAUGCUUUAUGAUGUCAUACUCCAUUACUACAUUGCUGAAAGUAUAGAAACAUGCAUACUUAUUAAACUAGAAAAAUAGAAGAACAUGCUUCAGAUUUAUCCUACAAUGGAGGAAUAUAAUCCUUACUAGUCUGUGGAGCUAAUUAAGGUAGUUCAUGCUUCCAUCGACACUGGAUUCUCGAUGUCCUCCUCCCUGACAGGCAUCAUCUGGGAUCUGGUCCACCCACCCAUGGAAAGAGCCCCAUCGUAAGUAGAGGAAGAGUCGUAGCAAGAGAUCAAUCCCUAUGCUGCACUACUACGUGAUGCUGAUGCUGCUUGUUUGGUGUACUCUACUUUGAUCUUCUUCAACCUCACCACCACAUCUCUUAUCGUCAUUCUCUGGUUAGGCAUGCCGCUAGAGCAGAGCAAACCCAACUCGAAUAUCGGCACAAGAAAUCCUUCAACAAGGUUGCAACUAGAAGAAGAGGAGCCUUGGAGUAGCUGGUUGUCAAUGACACUCACAAGCUCUGCAGGAAAUGCAGUGUGGACCCACUGCCUAAGAGUUAGUUCAUGCCCAAACAUAGCAUCAAUGGGUCUUUUCCUGGUGAAUACUUCAAGGAGCAUGAUCCCGUAGCUGAACACGUCACUCUUUCGUGAUGCCUUUCCAAAAGAGCCAUACUCUGCACAAGAAACAUGAAACAAAUGAAUAAAGAUGAGAUCAUGUAUCUUCACUAGUAAAUAGUCAAUGGUUUGAUAGAUUCUAGCUAAGUACCUGGUGCCAUGUAACCAACUGUUCCAGGCAUACUCGCACAUAUCAUGGAGUUGUCAUUGCCUAGAAGUAACCUUGCAAUGCCGAAGUCUGCCACAUGAGCAGUCAUGUCCAUAUCGAACAACACAUUGCUAGGUUUCAAGUCACAGUGCAGUAUCACCUCAUAGUGCUCGAAGUGUAGGUACUCCAUUGCCAUCGACACAUCGAGCAUGAUGUUGAUCCUUUCAAGAAACCCCAAGGGCAGUGUACUCUGAGACCGGUGUAGCAGCAUCUCUAAACUGCCAUUUGGCAUGUAUGGAAGCACAAGUGCUCUGAAGUCUAGGUUGGAACAUGUAUUGAGUAUCUGUAUCAGGUUGCGGUGUCGCGCCAUGCGGAGCACACGACACUCAGUAUCAAAGCUUCUCUUGGCCUGCUCCAGCUGCAUGUCAAGCACUUUUAUCGCAACCACCAAACCACUCACUUGUCCCUUGAAGACUUUCCCAAAGCUUCCACUUCCCAACAAAUUGUCCUCACUGAAAUUGUCUGUGGCCCGAAUGAGCUCAUGAUAAGAGACUAUCUGGUGGACUAUGCCAUCGGAUGGAUCACCAUCAAUUUUGACCUCACCCUCAUGCUUAUGUUUCUUUCUGAUCCACAACCAUAAGCAAAUAGCAAUACUGCCAGAAGCUACCAUGGAAGCUGGGAGUAGAAAUUUUAGCCAGUGUAUAUUAUUUGAACGAGGUCUGUCAAGACAUGGCAAAAAUCCUAGGCGUGGAGCGCCGCACAGCCCAACAUUCCCAAUCAAAGAUUUCAAUGUGAUGUUUGAGAAAACACCUCCCUCUGGUAUUUGGCCUGCCAACCUAUUGAAUGAGAGGUUCAUGGUAGUCAAGUCGGUUAAGCUUGCAAGGUAUAUUGGAAUGGAACCAGAGAGGUUGUUGAAGGAGAGGUCUAAGGAUGCUAAGCUAGUUAACUUUUGAAGUGAGUCUGGCAUCGGGCCUCCGAACAAGUUGUGCGAUAGAUUUAGGUACAUUAGCAUCUUAAGUUGCCCCAUUGAUUCUGGGAUGCUUGCUAGAAAGGAGUUAGAAGAAAGGUCCAUUUGGUAUAUUUGUAUUAACCCGGAAACAUCUGCCGGCAGUGCACCAACAAGAAAGUUAUAUGAAAGAUUUAGUUCAAUAAGUUUACCAAGGCCGAAUAGUCUUGCCGGUAUUAUAGAACUUAACUGAUUCUUGGACAGGUCCGUUUUCUCUAACUUACUAAGAUUACCCAAGCUUCUUGGUAUAGAGCCAGAAAAAUUAUUUCUUUGGAGAAACAACCGUUGUAGAUUCCAAAGCAUGCCUAUUUCUGUUGGGAUAGUGCCGAACAUGUCAUUACUAGAGAGGUCAAGCCACACGAGAUUUUUCAGUGUAGUGAUGGAUUCCGGGAUUGGCUCAGUGAGUAGGUUGUUAGAAAGAUCUAACCACUCAAGACCGCUUAUGUUUGAAAUUGUUGCCGGAAGUCCACCUACUAAUUUGUUGUAAGCUGGAGUUAAAGUUACCAAUCGUGAAGAGAGGUUUCCCAGUUGGUCAGAGAGGGCACCCGUGAAAGAGUUCACUCCUAUGUUAAUCAGUUGGACGUUUCUACAGUUACAAAGAGCUGAAAAAAGCUCCAUAAUACUUCCAUCUAAAUUGUUGUUUUGCAGGUGAAGCUCCUCUAAACUUGCAAUGUUCCCAAGUGUUGAAGGUACUGAGCCUGAUAAUUUAUUUUCUUCAAAAGCUAGGAGAGACAACAUGGACAAAUUCCCAAGAGAAGAUUGAAUUGUUCCGGUAAGUUGAUUUGUUCCAAGAUGCAGAAAGGAGAGUUUUUGCAUUAAUCCCAACUCUGGUGGGAUGUGUCCUGUAAGGUUGCAGCCAGAGAGGUCUAGCAUAGUAAGGCUAGUGAGAUUGCUAAGAGCGGCUGGGAUCAAGCCAACAAGGUUAUUUCCACCCAGUGAAAUACUUUCUAGGUGAUGUAGUUCAACUAACCACAAUGGCACAACAUCCACAAAAGAAUUGUCUGCCAAAGACAAUCCUACUAAGUAAUGAGACGAUGCAAGCCCUGAUGAAAUUCGUCCCUGAAAUUUAUUUUCGGAGAGGUCAAGCACUUGCAACAUUGGGAGGAUAAAACUUUGGUUGUCUGGAAUCGUACCAGUAAGGUUGUUGUUCGAUAAUAUCAUGAGGUCUAGCAUGGACAUGUUAUAUAUGGCUUGUGGCACUAGGCCGGAGAACUGGUUGUGCUGCAGCUGCAAGUAUGUAAGUUUGGAUAGGGAGGCUAUGCCAUGUGGUAUCGGACCUGACAUGCUGUUUUUUCCAAAGUAUAUGAAGCUCAGGGAAGGCGUGUUAUUGAAUAAAUAAGGUGGUAUCUGCCCACUCAACUUAUUAACUUCCAGAGAAAUUGUCUCAAGUUUCUGCAUACGAACAAACACCUCAGAUGGGAUUUGGCCCGUGAGUUGGUUAAAACUUAGACUAAGGAACUCGAGCCUUGUGAGGUUCCCUAUGGCAGCAGGAAUGACAUCUGACAGGCUAUUUUCAUCAAGGCUAAGAUAUCGAAGCCGACAUAGCUUGCCAAGCUCCGGAGGGAUGGAACCCGUAAGGUUGGUGCCCCUGAGAGUAAGAACAGAGAGGAAAGAGAGAUUACCAAAGUGGGGAGCAAUAGGUCCAGAAAGAGGCGUGUCUACCAAUGUUAGAGCCGUGACGCGCUGCCGCCGGCGGCUGCACGAGACACCUAUCCAGUGGCAGAAGGACGUGCCGGUCCAGCUGCCGGCAAGGACACGACGAGGGUCGGCGAGCUGGGCUUUGAAAGCCAGCAGCGCAGAGAGGUCCGUGUCGCUGCCGUUGGAUGGACUCGAACAGGAGGAAACAGAGAUGGCAGAGAGUGCUAGGAGUAGGAGGACGAUGAUGUUGGGAAUGCGGGCAUAUGACGGUGGAGCGGCCAUGGCUCGACUUGGCUGUUCAGGUGUUUAUCUUGUGAGAUCAGGAGCGGGAGCACCUGGGAAUUUAUAUGGGUUUCCCGUAGAAUCUCGUCCCGUUUUGCGCCACAGGUGUAGCAAUCGUUCCAUCAUAGUCGCCUGACAGUCUCUGCACGGCAUGGACACACCCUAGAGCUACAUGUCCGGCCUGACUCCGACCUGAGCUCAAGCCUUGACUAAUCAAAGAUAAGGGAGUGUGUUGAGCGUAGUGCAAAAGAUGUACACUAGCUACGUAUACCAAAUCGGUGAUGAUAAUAAUAUCUUUCUUCGGUGUGGUGGCAUAGACUCCUCCAUAAACAUGGUCCCAACGCGGAACUUCUCCAUUGCAAGAUAUUCACAAAGCUCGGCAAAAUCACAGUAUUACGAAAGCAAUUAUACUAGUAGUAUAUCACCAGAUUCUAUCGUGCCUGGAUAUUUAAUAUGGGUUUUCUGCAGUCACAUUUCUCUCUUCUUUUUUUAACUGGACAUUUCUCUGUUUGUUUGUCCGUCGCUGUCUUCUCUUCGGCGGUAGCUGCCUAACUCGCUUUACGGUCUCUGCAUGGGACAGGGUGCUAGUGACUCAAAUCAGUGACAGUAUGCUGGCUCGUCUCAAUCAUGUAAGGACAACUUGUGGAAAAAGCUUGGAAAAUGGACGCCACGACAAGAUCGACUUGGAGACUUGAGUGGCCAGCGCUGUACAACUUGCAGCCUUUUUUCUCCCAUAAUGGUGUACAACUUGAAGCAAUACAGUGUAGUGUUGAGUGUUGACAUCGCUCGGCAUGAGUGGUUAUAUUAGCUACUUCCUCCAUCCCAUAAUUACAUCUUUACAUUACGGGACGGAGGGAGAGUAUCUUACAAUGCAGUGUUGAUUGUUAAGUUUGGUCAUGACUCAUGAGCAGCUAGCUAGCUAACAGCCCAUUAUUCUUUACCGUUUCCCCUACCUGUGCGAUGAAAUGGUGGUCUCACCUCCCUCCCGCAUCACACCUGGGAUCAUUGCCCGCUUCUCGUCACCGCUGCCAUGACCCCUUAUUCUUUACCACUCCAUUUUCGCUUUGAAAUGGAAUGUAUCCCUAUCAAAUGGAAAGUUAAAUGAGAGCAUGUUACAUUUUUUCCUAGAAUACAGAUAGUAUGUGUUAUGUUAUGCUCCAAAUUCAAGUAUAAAGAGGGAGGCUAACUUCUGACGAGCGAGCGGAGCGAGGCCCGUCGCCGGUAGGCUCUUGUAAGCCGCCGCACGGGAUAAGUUGAUCAGUUGUAAAUCCCCGGCGUUUGUAACCUCCCCCGAUAUAGUGAAAUUUGGCUGGCUGGCGCCCGUGGUUUCCCCCCCUUCGUGUUGGAGGGGUUUUCCACGUUAAAAUCUCGUGUUCCUUGCUUGUUUUUGUUCUUCAUCGAGUUCGAUUGCGUGUCGUAUCUCUAACAAUAUGUGUAACGAAGAAGUGUCAAAGAAACCGGGAACAAGGCCUUUCACCCAUUCAACAAACACGCAUGAGAUUUUAUUUUAUUCUAAAAUUUUUUUUAGCAAAUUUAUUUUAUUGUAUCAAGGAAGAACUUAAACUUUACUGAUGCUGGAGGCCCGAUGGAGCUCAUCGAGUGUUAUGUCACCGCUCACCCCCAAAAGAAGGCUCAUGGGCGCAAGGUGCCACUGACGAUUAACUUGAGCCCUCCAUGCCUAGCUAGUGGAUAAAUCACUAAUUAUGGGGUACACUUUGCAAAUGUUACUGGUGCUAACAAGUGGCAUACUACAUAUGUGUCAAUUGUCGCAAUCUGGGAGUUUUUUCUUAUUUUGUAAAAAAAAUUCCAACAUUUUAUCUUUGAAACCAUGCGUUCAAAUCACAAUCCGUUUUCAACGUUGGAUUACUCGCGUCGAAAUCUUCAAAACUGGAUCCCAUGUUAAUAAUUUUUAAAAACAAAAACCGGAAGAAAAAAUGAAACACGGAAGCACGGUUGCGCUUUUCACUUUUUUUGAAAGAUGUGGUCUAUGUUUUUCCUUUUUGGGAAGCGCUUUUCGAGAAACACAAAUGUGCUUCUCAUAGAAGAAUAGGAUGUGCUUUUCCCUUUUUCAGGGAAGCACUCGGAAAAAACAGCUAUGCUUCUUGUGGAAGUAAGGCUAUGCUCUCACUUUUAUGGGAAGGACAUGUUGUGCUUUCUCUCGAAAGCACCGAUGGCAUAGCACAAUCGUGUUUCUCAAAGAAGUCACAAAACAAAACAAAAAUCAGUAAACCGGAUCCUAGGAAAAACCAGGAAGAAGUCAAAAGGCUAAAAAAAACACAAAGAAAAAAAAAC
rnacentral:lncRNA from 1 species